rnacentral:rRNA from 1 species
GAUGAACGCUGGCGGCGUGCCUAAUACAUGCAAGUCGAGCGAACGGACGAGAAGCUUGCUUCUCUGAUGUUAGCGGCGGACGGGUGAGUAACACGUGGAUAACCUACCUAUAAGACUGGGAUAACUUCGGGAAACCGUAGCUAAUACCGGAUAAUAUUUUGAACCGCAUGGUUCAAAAGUGAAAGACGGUCUUGCUGUCACUUAUAGAUGGAUCCGCGCUGCAUUAGCUAGUUGGUAAGGUAACGGCUUACCAAGGCAACGAUGCAUAGCUGACCUGAGAGGGUGAUCGGCCACACUGGAACUGAGACACGGUCCAGACUCCUACGGGAGGCAGCAGUAGGGAAUCUUCCGCAAAGGGCGAAAGCCUGACGGAGCAACGCCGCGUGAGUGAUGAAGGUCUUCGGAUCGUAAAACUCUGUUAUUAGGGAAGAACAUAUGUGUAAGUAACUGUGCACAUCUUGACGGUACCUAAUCAGAAAGCCACGGCUAACUACGUG